rnacentral:rRNA from 1 species
UACAGAGGUCUCAAGCGUUGUUCGGAUUCAUUGGGCGUAAAGGGUGCGUAGGCGGCGCGGUAAGUCGGGUGUGAAAUCUCGGAGCUUAACUCCGAAACUGCAUUCGAUACUGCCGUGCUUGAGGACUGGAGAGGAGACUGGAAUUUACGGUGUAGCGGUGAAAUGCGUAGAUAUCGUAAGGAAGACCAGUGGCGAAGGCGGGUCUCUGGACAGUGCCUGACGCUGAGGCACGAAGGUCAGGGGAGCAAACGGA